rnacentral:misc_RNA from 1 species
GAUGAAGAACGUAGCGAAAUGCGAUAAGUAAUGUGAAUUGCAGAAUUCAGUGAAUCAUCGAAUCUUUGAACGCACAUUGCGCCCGCCAGUAUUCUGGCGGGCAUGUCUGUCUGAGCGUCAUUUCAACCCUCACGCCCCUAGGGCGUGGUGUUGGGGAUCGGCCAAAGCCCGCGAGGGACGGCCGGCCCCUAAAUCUAGUGGCGGACCCGUCGUGGCCUCCUCUGCGAAGUAGUGAUAUUCCGCAUCGGAGAGCGAUGAGCCCCUGCCGUUAAACCCCCAACUUUCCAAGGUUGACCUCAGAUCAGGUAGGAAUACCCGCUGAACUUAAGCAUAUCAAUAAGCGGAGGA